AGAGUUUGAUCCUGGCUCAGGAUGAACGCUGGCGGCGUGUCUAAGGCAUGCAAGUCGUACGGAUAAGUAAAGUUCGCAAGAAUUUUGCUUGUUAGUGGCAAACGGGUGAGUAACACAUUGGUAACCUACCCCAAAGUUCGGCACAACUAUUCGAAAGAGUAGCUAAUUCCGGAUGAAUCCCCGCAUCAUAUGGUGCGUGGGUAAAGCAGAACUGCGCUUUGGGAGGGACCUAUGGUCUAUCAGCUUGUUGGUAAGGUAACGGCUUACCAAGGCUAUGACGGAUAGCGGGUGUGAGAGCAUGAACCGCCUCAAUGGAACUGAGACACUGUCCAUACACCUACGGGUGGCUGCAGUCAAGAAUAUUCCACAAUGGGGGAAACCCUGAUGGAGCGACGCCGCGUGCAGGAUGAAGGGCUUCGGCUCGUAAACUGCUUUUAUAAGGGACGAAGCUUCGGCUGACGGUACCUUAGGAAUAAGAGGUUGCUAACUCUGUGCCAGCAGCAGCGGUAAUACAGAGACCUCGAGCGUUAUCCGGAUUUACUGGGCGUAAAGGGUCCGCAGGCGGCCUAAUAAGUUCUACGUUAAAUCUUCGGGCUCAACCCGGAGGCUGCGUCGAAAACUAUUAGGCUAGAGGAUGGGAGAGGUAAGCGGAAUUGCCGGUGUAGUAGUAAAAUGCGUUAAUAUCGGCAAGAACACCAAAGGCGAAGGCAGCUUACUGGAACAUUUCUGACGCUAAGGGACGAAAGCGUGGGGAGCGAAGCGGAUUAGAUACCCGCGUAGUCCACGCCCUAAACGAUGUGUGCUGGAUUUUGGGAGUAUCGACCCUCCCAGAGUCGUCAAAAAAAGCUAACGCGUUAAGCACACCGCCUGGGGAGUACGGCCGCAAGGCUAAAACUCAAAGGAAUAGACGGGGACCCGCACAAGCGGUGGAACAUGCGGUUUAAUUCGAUGAUAAGCGAGGAACCUCACCAAGGCUUGACAUGGUACUGCACAUCCCGAGAAACCGGGACUCCUUCGAGGGUGUACCACAGGUGCUGCAUGGUUGUCGUCAGCUCGUGCCGUGAGGUGUACCCUUAAGUGGGGUAACGAGCGCAACCCUCGUGCUGUGUUAAUUUCCACAGCUGACUGCCUGGGACAACCAGGAGGAAGGUGGGGAUGACGUCAAAUCAGCAUGGCUCUUACGCCUUGGGCGACACGCGUGUUACAAUGGUCGGUACAAUGGGCCGCCAAGUCGAAAGACGGAGCAAAUCCCAUCAAAACCGGCCCCAGUUCGGAUAGAGGUCUGCAACUCGACCUCUUGAAGUCGGAAUCGCUAGUAAACGGAUAUCAGCCACGGUCCGUUGAAUACGUUCUCGGGUCUUGUACUCACCGCCCGUCACGUCAAGAGAGUUGGCAAUACCCGAAGGUAUGCGAUCGUAUGCCGAAGGUAGGGCCAGCGAUAGGGACGAAGUCGUAACAAGGCA
rnacentral:rRNA from 1 species